rnacentral:rRNA from 1 species
GCAAGUUGAGCGAGAUUAGUUUUGAGUUUACUUAGAGCUAUGAUAGCGGCGGACGAGCGAGUAACACGUAAGAAUCUGCCCCAUACUCAGGGAUAACACAUCGAAAGGUGUGCUAAUACCGGAUAGUCCCGCAAGGGUAAAGCUACGGCGGUAUGGGAGGAGCUUGCGGCUUAUCAGUUAGUUGGUGGGGUAAAGGCCUACCAAGACGAUGACGAGUAGCUGGUGUGAGAGCAUGACC